GUGGGGAAUAUUGGACAAUGGGCGAAAGCCUGAUCCAGCCAUGCCGCGUGUGUGAAGAAGGUCUUCGGAUUGUAAAGCACUUUAAGUUGGGAGGAAGGGCAGUAAGUUAAUACCUUGCUGUUUUGACGUUACCGACAGAAUAAGCACCGGCUAACUUCGUGCCAGCAGCCGCGGUAAUACGAAGGGUGCAAGCGUUAAUCGGAAUUACUGGGAGUAAAGUGCGCGUAGGUGGUUUUGUAAGUUGGAGGUGAAAUCCCCGGGCUCAACCUGGGAACUGCCUCCAAAACUGCAUGACUAGAGUACGGUAGAGGGUAGUGGAAUUUCCUGUGUAGCGGUGAAAUGCGUAGAUAUAGGAAGGAACACCAGUGGCGAAGGCGACUACCUGGACUGAUACUGACACUGAGGUGCGAAAGCGUGGGGAGCAAACAGGAUUAGAAACCCGUGUAGUCC
rnacentral:rRNA from 1 species